AUUUAAUUAUUAUAACUAAGUAUAUUAAGCUUCCAACUUAAAGGUUUAUAAAAAUAAAUUAAAUA
rnacentral:tRNA from 1 species